UCCGUAGGUGAACCUGCGGAAAGAUCAUUA
rnacentral:rRNA from 1 species